rnacentral:rRNA from 1 species
AUUGAACGCUGGCGGCAUGCCUUACACAUGCAAGUCGAACGGCAGCACGGGUGCUUGCACCUGGUGGCGAGUGGCGAACGGGUGAGUAAUACAUCGGAACGUACCUUAUCGUGGGGGAUAACGCAGCGAAAGCUGUGCUAAUACCGCAUACGCCCUGAGGGGGGAAAGCGGGGGAUCGGAAGACCUCGCGCGAUUAGAGCGGCCGAUGCCUGAUUAGCUUGUUGGUGGGGUAAAAGCCCACCAAGGCGACGAUCAGUAGCUGGUCCGAGAGGACGAUCAGCCACACUGGGACUGAGACACGGCCCAGACUCCUACGGGAGGCAGCAGUGGGGAAUUUUGGACAAUGGGGGCAACCCUGAUCCAGCAAUGCCGCGUGAGUGAAGAAGGCCUUCGGGUUGUAAAGCUCUUUUGUCAGGGAAGAAACACCGGCUCUAACACAGUCCGGGAAUGACGGUACCUGAAGAAUAAGCACCGGCUAACUACGUGCCAGCCGCCGCUGUAA